rnacentral:misc_RNA from 1 species
UUUCCGUAGGUGAACCUGCGGAAGGAUCAUUAAAAAAAGAGAAGCGUCCCGUUCUUUUUCAUAAGAAUGGGUUCUAUUCCCUUAAACCGUGUCUACAUACCUUUGUUGCUUUGGCAGGCCGCCUUCGGGCGUCGGCUCCGGCUGAUAGUGCCUGCCAGAGGACCCAAACUCUAUGUUUAGUGAUGUCUGAGUACUAUAUAAUAUUUAAAACUUUCAACAACGGAUCUCUUGGUUCUG